UAACAGAGCCAAACGCCGCUGGGCCCCGCUCCGGAGCGCGGGGCGCUGGCGGGGGAGAGCAGGGGCCGCUGCUGGGCAGUGAGGGCGGCAAGCGGCACAGGCUGUGCCAUCGCCGAGAGCCGAGCGGCCCGGGGAGCGCAGGCUUUUCUAUCGCUUCCUGCAUGGCUUUUCCUGGGACAAUGGUUUUCAGUUUUUUAAUGGGUCUGUGGCUGGUGAAGGAUUCUUGAAAUGUUACAAAACCGAGCCUGCAAUGAGUUGUCCAGGGGGCAGCUGUAAGAACCAGUGGGCAGCAGCAGCAGUUCCUUCAGCAGUUUGUGACUUUCAGUCUGACAGACUUGAUUUAACCUUUGUGACAGAUGGGAAGUUCUGUGAAAUAUAUAGGAACAGUUUCUUCUGUUUUAUUACCCCUGAACUGUAGUUCAGCAAGAAGUCCCAGUGACAUUAGGUUUUCCAGCGUUUUGAAUGAUUUCCAGUUGGAGGACCAGAACAGGAAUUCAGUGUUAUGUGGGACCCCCAGAGCAGAGUGGUCCCUCCCCCGGCAGGCGAAGGACGGGCAGGGCAGCACAGCUGAGCCUCUUCAGGAGCAACCUACACGGAUCACACGGGCCAGGGCAGCACUCGUGACACGGCACUCGGACAAUCAAGUAUUGUUCUCAUUUAUCUCCUAUCCUACACUUGGGGUUGAGACAGCGUUUAAUGAAUAAUAAACCUACACAAAUUUGGGGGUUU